rnacentral:rRNA from 1 species
CUGAAUAACUUUGCUGAUCACACAGUCCUAGCACUGGUGACAUAUCUUUCAAGUGUCUGCCCUAUCAACUUUCGAUGGUAUUUUAUGUGCCUACCAUGGUGGUAACGGGUAACGGAAAAUAAGGGUUCGACUCCCGACAGGGAGCCUGAAAAAUGGCUACCACAUCCAAGGAAGGCACCAGGCGCGCAAAUUACCCACUCUCAACUUGAGGAGGUAGUGACAAAAAAUAACAGGACAGCUCUCUAUGAGGUCUGUCAUUGGAAUGGGUACAAUUUAAACCCUUUAACGAGGAUCUAUUGGAGGGCAAGUCUGGUGCCAGCAGCCGCGGUAAUUCCAGCUCCAAUAGCAUAUACCAAUUCUGUUGCUGUUAAAAA